UACGUAGGGACCGAGCGUUGUCCGGAAUCAUUGGGCGUAAAGAGCGUGUAGGCGGCCACUUAAGUCCUGCGUGAAAUCUUGCGGCUCAACCGCAAGCGGUCGUGGGAAACUGGGUGGCUAGAGUGCGGGAGAGGAGAGUGGAAUUCCGUGGUGUAGCAGUGAAAUGCGUAGAUAUCAGGAGGAAUACCGAUGGCGAAGGCAGGUCUCUGGGCUGACCACUGACGCUCAUGCACGAAAGCGUGGGGAGCAAACAGG
rnacentral:rRNA from 1 species